AAUCAGUGACAUAUUUCCUCUAUCUCGGUGCUCAUGAAAAUGUUUCUCUGUACAGUUUACAAGAUACAUGUUUGCACACACAAACACACACCACAACCCUGCGCAGAGUUAGGCACACUUAAUUCUGUCUUGUAUUGUGGCCAGAAGGUCUCAGGGGUUACAAUUUUGCCCAGUGUACUUGAAAAUAAGAGUGGAACUGCAUGUGGUCAGAAACACAGGGCUACUUACUGCCAAAAACACAGCAGCCCUGUGUCAGAUCCCCCUUCCCCUCCUCAGUAGCACAUGAUUCAAAUUACCUCAUGUCUUGACAUCAUUACACUGAGCAUUUUUGACCAAUCCUUCAUUUUUAGCUGGCAGUGUUGGGGAAACAGUAUAAUGACCCAAAACCACCAGGGAAGUGUUUCUGAUAAUGUGUAGUUCUGCUGUUAUAAAAAGACCAGGCACCCUAUAUUUAAAUGUUUGUACAGAUUUUUAGUGCCUGUUUUUUAAAAAAACUUUUCUCAGGGCAAAUCUCUUCACUUGGCGCAUUUCAGUCAUAAUAUCAGGUUAUGCUUAAUUUUUACUGUUAUAUACUAACUACACUUUUGUGAUUGUAGAGAGAACUUGAUUCUGUAAGAUUGCUGUGAGAUUUCCUGACAAUAUUCUGGACCCAAGCCAGGAAAGCAAUUAACUAUGUGACAGGAAUGGUCUUGGUGAAAGCACAGGAGUAAAUACUUUACUGCAUCAGGGUCAGAGGUUUACUUUGCAGGAUUAUUCCCCCCAAUUUUUACGUGUAGACAGGCAGGUUUGUGGAGUUGGCCCUCUCUAAAAAUACUGGUCCAAGAAGCUGGAAAAAUCCAAUAAAUGUGGUGCUCUGCAUAUGCCUCAUGUUAUUAGGGAGGGGUCGUAGUUCAGUAGUAGAGCACAUGCUUGGUUUGUAUCAUAUUUCAGAUUCAGCGCAGUUAAUGGAACUCAUGUAGCAGAGCUGCAAAGACUGUCUCCCUAAAACUCUGGAGAGCCAAGGACAGUCAGCAUAGCAGCACUGCACUAAAUUGAUUAGUAAAGGGUAAAGGGACCCCUGACUAUUAGGUCCAGUCGUGGCUGACUCUGGGGUUGCGGCACUCAUCUUGCUUUAUUGGCCGAGGGAGCCGGCGUACAGCUUCCAGGUCAUGUGGCCAGCAUGACUAAGCUGCUUCUGGCAAACCAGAGCAGCGCAUGGAAACGCUGUUUACCUUCCCGCCGGAGUGGUACCUAUUUAUCUACUUGCACUUUGACAUGCUUUCGAACUGCUAGGUUGGCAGGAGCUGGGACCGGGCAACGGGAGCUCACCCCAUGGCGGGGAUUCGAACCGCCGACCUUCUGAUCGGCAAGUCCUAGGCUCUGUGGCCACGUCCCUCUAAAUUGAUUACUGGUCUGCUAUAAGCCAGCUUUAAAAGUUGAACUGUAUGUAGUCUGGGAAGGGCUUCAAGGAUCAGAUCCCCCUCCCUUUCACAAGUCUGUAUACCUGCCCACUGGAGCCCUGCUCCAACUUUUCUUCCCCUAUCCUUAAUGCCUUGCAUUAUCCAUGUAUUUAUUUAUUUCGUCUGAUAUCCAAUUAAGUCAUACUCAGAGUAGACCCAUUGAAAUAAAUGGACAUGUUUCUUAAGUUCAUUGAUCUUUGUGGAUCUACCCUGAGUAUGGCUAACAUAUCAUCCUACAUCUUUUCAAAUUAAUACAAAUUAAGACAGAAAACCGAACCUGGUUGGUCCUACUUCAUAUUAGUUACUAUUAUGAGUGCUGAUGCAGAACAUCAUUUAAUAAAUCAAUUUUUGAUUUAUUAACUGUGCUUUGAAUCCAGACUAUGGGGUUGCAUAAAAGGAACCGUGAGCAGAAGGGAAAUGGUUGCUGGUGCUGUUUUGCAAACACUUGUGUUUGUUUGCUUUGUGUAGGCAGUUGUACAAGCAAACCUCUUUGGAUUUCCUUUUUUCAUCAUCCACAUUCUCACACAAACUGUAAAACAACCCUUCCGUACGAGGAAGAUCAGCUUCAGAUUCAAGCCUAUGAAUAAGCCAAAUUAGUUGAUUAUAUAAAAUCAGCUAACAACAUUUGUAGAACAGGUGUAAUUUAUAUUGCCUGCUUACAGUAUCUGGCAGAAUUUAAGUUUCCAGGUCACAAGUAGUUCGGCUUUUGAUUUACUGUAAUGUAAGCCAUGGUCUCCCCAUAAAAGGGUUAACAUGCUAAUAGGUUUAUAUAUUUUACACAUUGCAGCCAUAUCAUUUUGCAGGUAAGAUUACUCUCAGUUAAGAAGCUAUGAUAGCGUGUAGGCAUCACUUUAGUGGUUUGGGUCAGCAUCAGAGCCCACGCAAUCAAUCCACAGGGAAAUUUCUGAUUGGUUUCCCUGGGUCUUGUACGAGGCUGCCUUUUCAAGCCUGAGAUGUUGUGCUGAAUGUCUAUAUACUGGAAAGACUUUUACACUAUUAUGUUUGUUACUAUUUUCUUUUUGGUAGCUGCUUCAGAUAACUUUGUUUUCUGUCCCCAGAAAGAUGCCUUUGCCACCUAGUUUUGAUGGCUGUGGUGUCAUUUCUUUUCCUGUUACAAACGGCAGCAAAUUACCUAAGGGCAGUGAAUUCUAAAGUGCUUGAUUUUUAAAAUGAUCUGUGGUGGUGGUUCUCCGCCUCUCUCCAUCUUCUAGAUAAGGGAAGAUCAGCGUCAAGUAAUUUAAAGAGCGGGGAGACAUAAAGAAAGUGCAAUGGUAAUGAAUGAUAAUGUCAGUUGUAUGUUGGGCUUGAGUGCAGUUGAGCAAAAUGGUAAGGGCAGAAUGCUUUGAAGACUGUUUUGGUGAAAUGGACUGCUGUUUGUGGAAAACCUAAAGACAAUUAUCUAGAAAAUGUUGACUCUAUGCUGCUUUCAACAUAGAUGACAUUGUAGCGAGUUAUUGGCUGAAGUCUGGCGUGAUCCCAUUACAGAAUGCUGUGAGCUUGGAAUUCAAGGACAGCAAACCCAGCAAAAGCGCUCUGGGAAUUGCACUACGGGUGUGUUGCACAUAGCGAAGAUUUAAUUGUAUGAGGA